GAUGAACGCUGGCGGCGUGCCUAAUACAUGCAAGUCGAGCGAACGGACGAGAAGCUUGCUUCUCUGAUGUUAGCGGCGGACGGGUGAGUAACACGUGGAUAACCUACCUAUAAGACUGGGAUAACUUCGGGAAACCGGAGCUAAUACCGGAUGAUAUUUUGAACCGCAUGGUUCAAAAGUGAAAGACGGUCUUGCUGUCACUUAUAGAUGGAUCCGCGCUGCAUUAGCUAGUUGGUAAGGUAACGGCUUACCAAGGCAACGAUGCAUAGCCGACCUGAGAGGGUGAUCGGCCACACUGGAACUGAGACACGGUCCAGACUCCUACGGGAGGCAGCAGUAGGGAAUCUUCCGCAAUGGGCGAAAGCCUGACGGAGCAACGCCGCGUGAGUGAUGAAGGUCUUCGGAUCGUAAAACUCUGUUAUUAGGGAAGAACAGAUGUGUAAGUAACUGUGCACAUCUUGACGGUACCUAAUCAGAAAGCCACGGCUAGCUACGUG
rnacentral:rRNA from 1 species